UGGAGUAUGCUUAAAAAAACAGAGAGAGAGAGAGAGAGAGAAAAUGGACUCGUUCAAAAUUGAAAAAUUAGAUGAGAGCACAGGUUUAUCUUAUGUUAUCUUAAUCUUACCUGUUGUGUGGAUGUAAAAGGAUCAACGGGAAGAAUAUGGUGAGAGAAAGAGAGCGAGAGAGAAGAGGGUUGGGGGGAGCAGCGAGGGAAGAAGAGAGAAGGGAUAUGACAAAAUUGAUCCAGAAGGCUGUCGAUAAGUGGCGUGACAGCUGCGGACGUCAGUGGCGUCCUUCUCCUCAAUCAAUACUGAGGCGUUUGGUUUCCGAAGAGGAAGUCAGAAAUAUGCUUGGUUCAUUCUGGAAAUACGUUGGACCAGCAAUUGGUACCUUUCAGAACUGAGCUGUGACCAUAUGGGAACACGGCAGCUAGUUUGGAACGAGUUAAAACCUACAAAAUAUGUUAUUAUUCUUAAAUUGCAGUUAUUCAUAUCAACCAGAAAAAGUGUGUGCCGAAAGACAUUUGAACUAGAUGUUCUUCAAUUUUCUGACUGGCAUAGUGUGAUUCCUAGCCAAAAAAAUAAGAAGCAGGUGGCAUAACCUCCUUUUUUUUUCCCCCUCAAAAAUAAUAAUUAGAAGAAGAAGAAGAAGAAGGCACGGUUAGGUGAAUGACUUCUUAUUUCCGAGCUCAU
rnacentral:lncRNA from 1 species